rnacentral:rRNA from 1 species
UACAGAGGGGGCAAGCGUUGUUCGGAAUUACUGGGCGUAAAGGGCGCGUAGGCGGCCUUCUAAGUCGAACGUGAAAUCCCUGGGCUCAACCCAGGAACUGCGUCCGAUACUGGAAGGCUUGAAUCCGGGAGAGGGAUGCGGAAUUCCAGGUGUAGCGGUGAAAUGCGUAGAUAUCAAGAGGAACACCAGUGGCGAAGGCGAGUCCCUGGACGAUACCUGACACUGAGGCACGAAAGCUAGGGGAGCAAACAGG